UCGAUGGAUAGGGGUUCUGAGAGAAGGUCCCCACACUGGUACUGAGACACGGACCAGACUCCUACGGGAGGCAGCAG
rnacentral:rRNA from 1 species